UGGGGAAUAUUGCACAAUGGGGGAAACCCUGAUGCAGCAACGCCGCGUGAACGAAGAAGGUAUUCGUAUCGUAAAGUUCUGUCCUAUGGGAAGAUAAUGACAGUACCAUAGAAGAAAGCUCCGGCUAAAUACGUGCCAGCAGCCGCGGUAAUACGUAUGGAGCGAGCGUUGUCCGGAAUUAUUGGGCGUAAAGGGUACGCAGGCGGUUUAAUAAGUCGAAUGUUAAAGAUCGGGGCUCAACCCCGCAAAGCAUUGGAAACUGAUAAACUUGAGUAGUGGAGAGGAAAGUGGAAUUCCUAGUGUAGUGGUGAAAUACGUAGAUAUUAGGAGGAAUACCAGUAGCGAAGGCGACUUUCUGGACACAAACUGACGCUGAGGUACGAAAGCGUGGGGAGCAAACAGG
rnacentral:rRNA from 1 species